UUGCCCUUAAUAACGGCGAGUGAGCGGCAAAAGCUCAAUUUGAAAUCUGGUACCCCGGUGCCCGAGUUGUAAUUUGGAGAGGGCAACUUUGGGGCCGUUCCUUGUCUAUGUUCCUUGGAACAGGACGUCAUAGAGGGUGAGAAUCCCGUGUGGCGAGGAGUGCGGUUCUUUGUAAAGUGCCUUCGAAGAGUCGAGUUGUUUGGGAAUGCAGCUCUAAGUGGGUGGUAAAUUCCAUCUAAAGCUAAAUAUUGGCGAGAGACCGAUAGCGAACAAGUACAGUGAUGGAAAGAUGAAAAGAACUUUGAAAAGAGAGUGAAAAAGUACGUGAAAUUGUUGAAAAGGGAAGGGCAUUUGAUCAAACAUGGUGUUUUGUGCCCUCUGCUCCUUG
rnacentral:rRNA from 1 species